rnacentral:misc_RNA from 1 species
UUAUUAUUGAAUUGGACUGCUCUCAGUUGCCAAAAUGCCACUGAUAUAUUCUCUGUUUCCUUGAUUGUUCCCAUUUUAAAAAGAGCUCUGUGAAUUUGAACAGUAAAAUAUUUAUCUGUAUUGGAGUUUAGCAGAUUCAGAAUGUGAGAGUACUGGGAAGGGAUGUGGGCAGGCAGUGCUCAGAGACAUUAUCGUAUUGAGAAGGGAUGGUGAAAGGGAAAAUGGAGAACAUUCCCUGUUUCAUGGAGAGAGUAGAGGCCGGAAACCUCCAAUCACCUCCUAUCCUUUUAAAAUGGGAAAUAGGGAAAAAGAAAAUUGAAAAAAAAAAUUAAAAGAAAAACUCCUUACCUAAAAAAAAAGAAACAAGGGAAUCCAAAAAAGGCUAAUUAGUGUGUUUCUUCCAUGAACACCUUUGCCAAUUUUAGCUACCAUACCCAACAACAACAAACAAAACGAGUACAAUUUUUAUGUAAAAUUGAGUAGUAUUUGAAGAAUCUUUAUCAUUUGCUUAUAACUCUGAAGCCCGACCUCUUCAAAUGAAAUCCUCCUCUUCUAGAGUGCCCAAACACUUUCACUUCCCCUUCUUAUCAUCAUUGCUAGUGUCAUUAUCAUCACAGGUUCCUUUAGUGUUUCAACUUUCAUUUUGUCCUCUAGUCCUAGUUAACUCAUGAAAAAAUCAUACAACUUAUGGGCCUCCUGAUGGCCUGUGCAGAAGGCCAAAUUUGCUCAAGAAAAUAAACUAAGCUUAUGAAUGUCCUUAUCAAGUUUAUCAAUUACUCAGCAUUAUGUUAUGCUUAAGACAGCUG